UAUACUUCUACACAUAUACAGAAUCCCCGAAGAAACAAUUCCAUAGCUAACAUCCAAGUAAGCGCGGCUCAAUGUGCCCAACACCGACACCGACACAGAUGUGGAGAAACGUAUAAAACAACCUGGAUUCUCAGACCACAAUCAACAUCACGCCUAACUACGUAGAGGACGUAUAUACAUACCGGCUCCCGCAGCGCAGCCGAUCACAAUUACUGAGUAUUACACAAGCACAUGUAUUUCGUCAUCCAUACUGAGCUAUUCCCCAUUAUCCCUGCCAUGCUCCACAUCCCCGGAAGCCGGGAACAAUUGUCUUCUCAAUUGUCCGCUUUAUGAGCCAGUUCCCGUGCACCGCUGUCGAACACCGUCUGACGCACCACCACCGGCAACAAUGCUGCAAUCAUCCACUCCGCCAGAUCUAUAAAUACCCGGGAAUCCUCCACAUCCAACAAUCCAGUAAUCACCGCACUAUUUGAUCACGACGGAAUUCUUUAUUACAUUAACCCUAAAUUUACCGUUUAUUGUCGAUUACAUACCAGAUACCGGUACUUAUCUUUCACCGUUGAUUGUCUGACCAGGCACCGAGUAUAUAAGACGCCUCAUUAAAAAUGCUCUCCGCCGAUCACCAACAUCACUCCCGUUCGCGUUCCCCAUCACCGAACCCGCAUUCUCGCUCACCACAUCGUCACCAUCAUCAUCAUCAUAACCCGGCCGACGAGAUGCCCAACCCGCCGCCCCCGGGCCCGGACGGCGUGACCCCGCAGUAUAAUCUCCUUUUCGGACACAAACCGGAUGACCAUAAACAUGGACAUGGACACGGACACGAUAAACUGGAUGUCCACCAUGAUAAGCAACACCGGGACCAUUCGGCCGAUCGUCGAGGUCAUCAUGCCGGCGACACAGGGAGCCAAGGUCACGGUCAUAACGAUGGACACAUGCAUGCCGGUAAACAGGAGGAGCAUCAUGGAUUUGUCUCGGAUUUAUUGCACAAGAUGCAUCCCAAGCACUGACUUCUGUAAUUGCGAAUUUAUGAGAUGGAAUAUUUCGAGCAGCUUUGUACCAUGGCCAUUAUUGCAGACCGCCUUUCCACAUACUAUUGACAAAAAAAAACGGGAUUAAUCGAUUUAAUUCAUGGCGCAUUGUUGCUGUCGGCAAACGAUACCGCCAAAGUUGCGACCGUUGAAUUGUGCAGCAGUGCCAGGUUUUAAUUCUUUGUUAAUUUGCUAACUGCCAUUGUAAUACCUUCCGAGCCGGUGACUCCAGGUUUAAAUUCGUAAUUAUGUGGGUAAACACUUAACAUAUACAUUAAUAAUGCAGUAAUUAGGUGUCACGUUUGCAUUUCCAUCGAUGCCGGUAGCAUGUACGAAUGCUAGGAUUUUAAUAUACAUAUGUUCACUGUAAUAAACAUUUAAUAUAUGUUAUCAUGCACUGUACAAUUUUGGAUUCUAAAAUUGCCGAAAAACAAACCGGAAAUGAUUAAUUUUUGUGUUGCGCGCUCGUACAGGUUCUAUACUUUACACUCUGUUU